rnacentral:misc_RNA from 1 species
UUCUGUGGAAAUUUAAGAAGACCCGUUGGUGCAAAUCAACUCCACCCUCCCCUCCCCUGGCAUUGUUUCCUUGUACCCAGACUCCUAAAGUGCCCGGUGAUCGAAGUUUACCUCUUUGAUUUAUGAAUCAAAAGUUUUGUAAAUACGCUCUUUUCUACUGCAUUAUUAAUGAAGACCUUGAAAUGCUCUUUUGAAUUGCGACGAACAGAAUCCUCUGAAGGAUGAUUUGUGUUAUUCUAGUGGCGGGACACGGUACUCUUCUUGAAAAACAAAUCAAAGAUGAUUUAUCAGGGAAAUACAUUGGUUUGCAAGGAGUUCCCAAAGCACUCCUUCCUGGUGUUGGAGGCAAGUCUAUUCUGGACUUUUGGUGGGAGGCAAUCAAAAUGAGGCAGUUAUUCACUGAUGUGUUCCUUGUAACCAAUGCUGACAAGUAUAAAUACUAUGAGAGAUGGGCCACAGCACACGAUUUUCCAGUAGAAAAUAUUGUAAAUGAUGGAACUACCACCUUUGAAACAAGACUACUUGAAAAUAAAAAGCACAGAAUAAAGAAUUCUAGGAUCAUUCAAUCAGCUCAAGGACUUGGUGCAGUAGCUGACUUUGAGCUGGUUGUGAGAACCAAGAAUAUUCAAGAUGAUGUUGUGGUGGUGGCAGGAGACAUGCUUUUCCAAGAUGGUAACUUUGACAUGGCACAAGUGAUCAAAUACUUCAAACUCAAAAAGGGUGAGUUGGCCAUUUACUAUGAAAUGCAUGGGAUGGAGCAGACAGAAACGAGGGGUAUUGUGGAGGUCUGCCCUUUGACAAACAGGAUUGAAAGAUUCCUGGAGAAGCCCAAACCUGAUCAAACAACAUCAAGGCUAGCAAGUGUAGUGUUCUAUUGCUUUCAAAAAGAAACCCUCAGUACUCUGGAGAUUUAUUUGAAGAAAAGAGCUGACAUUGAUCAACGAGGAUUUGGAAAUUACCUGGAAUGGCUUGUCAACCAGACACCAGUGUAUGGUAUGAAACUUCCAACUGGCUUUCAGCUUAUUGGUCAAGUGGGUUUAUCUGAAUAUGAGAAGUGGGUUGCAUAUUUCUCUAGCAUCUCUCAAAAAGGAUGUCCAUUGGAACCUUAUGUUGCCAGAGCCUAUGCAAGGAUUGGUUUAAUGGGGAACCCAUCAGAUGGUUUCAAUGGCAAGACCAUAUCAAUGUCAAUAGCCAACUUUUGGGCUGAAGUUACUAUCCAGGAAAGUCAGCAGUUGGUGUUGGUGCCACACCCUCUGAAUGAUCCAACAGAAUUUGGAAGCUUGGGGGAUCUUCAUGGAAUAAGCCGAAAAGAGGGUUAUCUUGGAGGACUACGUUUACUUCAAGCCACCUGCAAAAAGUUCUACCAGUAUUGCUACGAGAAAGGCAUUGGCAAAAAAGAACUUUUCCCUGAAGUAUGACACCAACAUACCCAGACAAGUGGUAAUUAUUGCAUGUGUCAAACAUUGAUAUUAAGGGACUUGCAGGCAGCAGUGCAAUAGUGACAGCCACUUUGAGAUGUUUGAUGCAUUUUUACAAUCUUACUGACAAG